GUCAGAAUAGUUUAGUGGUUAGAAUCCUCGCUUCCCAACUCGUGCUGAAUAGUGAGGGACCCGGGUUCGAACCCCGGUUCUGACA